rnacentral:rRNA from 1 species
GGACGAACGCUUGCGGCGUGCCUAAGAAAUGCAAGUCGAACGGGGGCUUCGGCCCCAGUGGCGAACGGUCGCGUAACACGUAAGCAACCUGCCCUGAAGUGGGGGACAACAUUCCGAAAGGGGUGCUAAUACCGCAUGUGGUCACGAGUCGGCAUCGACUUGUGUCUAAAGAUUUAUCGCUUCAGGAUGGGCUUGCGGCCUAUCAGGUAGUUGGUGGGGUAAUGGCCUACCAAGCCGACGACGGGUAGCUGGUCUGAGAGGACGAUCAGCCGGAUUGGGACUGAGAUACGGCCCAGACUCCUACGGGGGGCAGCAAUUAGGAAUCUUGCGCAAUGGGGGAAACCCUGACGCAGCGACGUCGCGUGAAGGAUGAAGGCCCUCGGGUCGUAAACCUCUUUUGAGUGGGAAGAAAUUUGACGGUACCACUCGAAUAAGCCCCGGCUAACUACG